GACCGCGUAGCUCAGUUGGCAGAGCAUUGGGCUAGUAUUCCAAAGGUCGUAGGUUCAAUUCCCGCCGUGGUCG